UACGGAGGAUGCAAGUGUUAUCCGGAAUCACUGGGCGUAAAGCGUCUGUAGGCGGUUUAACAAGUCAGCUGUGAAAUCUUGAGGCUCAACCUCAAAAUCGCAGUCGAAACUAUUAGGCUAGAGUAUAGUAGGGGUAAAGGGAAUUUCCAGUGGAGCGGUGAAAUGCGUAGAGAUUGGAAAGAACACCGAUGGCGAAGGCACGUUACUGGGCUAUUACUAACACUCAGAGACGAAAGCUAGGGUAGCAAAUGGG
rnacentral:rRNA from 1 species